AUGGAACAAUGAGGGUAAGAACUAGCCCUGCCCGGUAUCUCUAGGACACUGGGAACUGAAGUGAGAUAGAAAAAAACAGUUUGUGCAUGUUUUAUCUCUUUAUUUUAUUUUAUAUAUUUUAUAUACUUUUAUAAUAAGGAUGUUACAAAGUGUCGUUUGGCACCACGCCACACUCACAGCCGGAGAAGGUUCCAGAAAGUCUGCCCGGUAACAACCAAUCAGGCCUCAACUAAAAGUGGAGCAACUGCCCCAGCCAAUCAAAUGUGGGGUAAACAAACUUCUGUGGGUAACCACAGAAGAGCAGACGGAAGAAGAGGCGGAUCUUCUCUCGGCUGGGUUGGGGGUGCUAAAACUAUAUAACCCGCACCAAAUUAAGGGUGGGUGUGCGAUUCUAACUGACUGCUAACAGACUCUGUGAUGCAUGGUUGAACGCUCCUGAUUGCAAUCAAUAAAGGAGGAAGUAGGUGAAACAAAUAAGUAAUGUUGUAGACUUGCCUAGUCUGACAGACUGUUAGAAAGGAAGAAAUUUAAACCCUAGUUUAUUGUUGUAGAAAAUGGUUAAUAAAAUGGCCCAGAAAAGUGAUUGGUAUUCGUCAUGUAAAAUAUAUGAAGUACAGUGUCAAAAGAAAUCGAAACAAAAAACGAAACAAGAGAUAAAAGAAAAACUAAAGAUCAACCUAAUGGAAUUAAAAAAAAAACAAAGGGAAGGAAAAAAAAUGAUAGAAGAGUUGGAAACUGAGUUGGGACUUGGUGAGAGGAUUUAGAGGAAGAUGCUACGGGUGCGGCGAAUAUGGUCAGAAGAGGAGAGAAUGCUGGACAGCAGAAUGCGUAGCAGAUGGCUGAAGCAGAUUGCGGAAGGUUUGAGUAAGUAUUGUGAAAUGUGACAAAGCAGAAACAAAGUUACACUAAAAGUAUGAUCAAGGAUCCUGGUUAUGUAAUAUGCGCAUUGUUUGUCUGUCUGUCUAUUUAAUGUUUACGUGUCUGUAUGAACUAAUAGUUUGUUCCUUUGUGUUUGUUUCUCUCUGUCUGUUUGUCCAUGUGUACACGUUGUUUCGAAUAUGAAUGUCAGAAUUGUAUUUUGAAUAGUGUUACUGACUUUCUUUGCACUGCGUAUUAAAGUUUAUAAGAUUAGUGUUACGGGCUGUCACGUCGAGUCCUCCCAAAAGACCCCACUACAGAUUUAACACAAUAAACAUUAAUUUGCAAUUAAUUGUUGCGCUGACUUGUCUGUUAUUGACUGUCCAAGGAGGAUGAGUAUGUUUAAUUACCAUCCCCAAUAUUUAGUGGAUCCAGUCGCUAACAGUUGAGUUUGUACUUCGACUAAGCAUUUAAAAAACUCGUGGGUGUUUGCUGGGCCAAGACUUGAGACUUGACAGAGGGUAAAUUAAGUCCUGGUAGACAGACAUGUAAGGUCUAGUGUUUUGCCGAUUGUGGCAUUGUUGUGUAACUGGAAUUCCUUGUGAGAUGUGAUUGAGUGUCCCGGGUCUGGUUGUUUGUGGAUGUGAGGAGAAGGGGUAUGGCUCAAAGGUAAUGUUUUACCUGUGGAGAGUUAGGACAUAGGGCGGAAAAGUGCCUUCAAAGACCCAAGGAAAAUAGAAUUUAAUGUAAAAGUGUGAGUAGGUUGAAGACAUUAUAUAUGUAUAUGUAUGACGCUGUAAGCAAGCAAGACUGAUAGAUGUACCGAUUGUAAAUGGGGAACUAACUUGUCUAGGCCGCCAGCUGUCAGCCGAGGGGAAGUCCCUGUGCAAAAACAGAAUUGAGGCGAUACUAAAAAUAUCACAACCUGUAACUAACAAGAAAAAGGCAAAGUACAAAAAGACAAGAGGUUAUGUUACAGAAAGUUAAAACAUAGAAACAAGAUAGGCAUUCCUAAAAGUUGUGUGGUUGAGAGGUGUUGUAGUUUACAGAAGGAAAGAGAAGUGUGGUAGGCUGGGGCAUAGACAAGUUGAUUGUUAUGCUAAAGGUGGAACGGCAAUAAUAUGAAUCAGGUGUUAAAGACAAUGUAAUGUGUCAAAAUUGUAUCCGUAUGUCAAAAUUAAUUGGAAAGACAAAGAAAGGAAUUCUGCAAGGUUCGUGCAUUAAGUAACAUAGGAUAAUAAAUAAAUAAAGUUGCAUUACCAGUAAGAGUGCGUGAGAAGCACAAUGGGGAAAAGGAAAUGACAGUUUACGCAGAGGGGGCCAAACCGAGUCUGGGUUUUGGUUGGGGCCAAACGGUAAACCCAUUUUGCCACGCGCCUGGUACCCCAUGAUGUGUAAGUGGGCACACGGUCUUGACCAUGUGUCCAAAGGAGGGGUAGUAGGGGUAGUAGACCAUGUGUAGUAACCAUGUGUAGUAGUAAAAAAAAAGAAACAUGUGUAGUAGUAGUAAAAAAAAAAAAAAAAGAAAAUAAGUGGGGCACAAUUUGAUGGAGCAUGUCAGAACUGCGGUAAAAUGGGACAAAGGUCAGAUUGCAAACAGGGGCAGGAGCCUAAAUGUGACAAUUGUGGUGAUCUCGGGCAUAGGUGAUCGUUUCGUUGUAAGACCAAGUAAAAGAACUGGACAACCCACACAGUCAACUAAAGUGAAAGCACAAAAGCAACGAGAAGGCUGAAACUAGCUAAGGAAGCAGUGCGGUUUCCUGUUAACCACAAAACAGCAGCUGUGUCAGUAGAUAUAUUUUGUCAUUCUUGCACAGAAACAGCAGUCUAUUAUAGACACACAAAAGACACAAGAAGAGAAAGAGAUGUUAACAGUUUGGUUAAUACAUAGUGCUGAUGGUGACACAAACUAGGGUAGCAGUGAAGCUCCCACAUGGGGUUAAGUGAGUACGUUGGACACAGACCAAACGGUACCACCGCGUGGAUACAUCUCAGUUUGAAUUUGCUGACACUGAAUACCCCGAAACUAACGGUAUAUCUCUUUCCACAGACAGCGGGAGCAGCAACGGACAGUAACAUGAUUUGUGUUCCAGGUAUUAUGUCAUUCCAGAGUCGGAGAGGAUUCCACACUUCUGGGCGUGGAACGAGGCGUGUACAGAGAGACAAGCUUUGGGGGCCCCCUGGGAGAAUUGCACGUGAAUCUUUAGACAACGACAAAGACCACUUUCCUUCGAGAGUAACAUAGAGGGAACGUGGCAACCUGUGUGUUUGAUAAGCCAGAAUAAUACAAUGACUCCAGCACAGUUUGAACAAUGUUCUACUUGCGAUAUGGCGACUAACAGUAAGAGGGGUCCAGUAGGAGUCAAUAUGCAACCGAACUGUAAGCAGUGAUGCGUCAUUGGAGGUGGACUGUCUCUGGACGGGAAAAAAAAAAAAAAAAAACUGUGCCAAAACAGUGACAACAGGAACAAACUAAUGCAACAAGCAAUUGGACAUGUGUUAAUGUGCACUCAGUGUGUGUGAUGGUACUUGUGAAAAUACAUGGUGUAUGGGGGGUAUGAAGCCACAGUUCCACUCCACUCAAUGUCCCCCACUAAUGCCCUUUCCCCAGACAGGUUGAUAGCUGUGGAAGAGGCAAAACCAUUUGUGAUGGGAGCAAUCUGGUUGCAAACGUUGGUAAAAAUGAACAUUGAAGAUAUCAAACGACAUUACACCAAAAGGUGUGAUGAGUUUAGUCUAUUAACUAAAAUAUUGAAUAAAACUUUUAAUCGUGAAUUGGAUACAUACCAACAUAACGCAGGUGGCCGUCAAAGGAGGGGUCUGAUUGACGACAUUGCUGGGUGGUUCGGGGCUGUGAAUUCAAGCCUCAAUUCCAUAGAUAGUAUACAGCAGGACAAUGAAAACCAUGGCCGGUUUCUGAAAACAGGUGAUGCCAUUCAGAGAUUGGCCAUGGCUGAACAAAUGACUGGUGAAAGACGGUUGACACAAUAAUUGAAGAUGUAAAUUUGACAGCUUGGAGAGAACAGGUGUUAUGUGGGGUAUGACCGGAUACUGAUAUGUACUGAACGAUGUGAUGAAGAUAUUUGUUUUAUUUUAAUAGUGCCACAUACCACCAGUCGGGUCCACCACAGUACCUGGAUAACGGUCAGUAGUCUAGGGGUAGUAAUUGGAGCACGGGUUAUAGUCCCACAAAUAACAUGGGUUGAUCAGCAUGCUCAAAAAUGCCACCCUGUACUUCAAAGCCACUGAGUUUAUUGAAUUUGGUGAUGCUGUUCUGUGUGACCAUGCUAACAGCACUAACCUGUCAAUGCAAUUGAUGGAAGCAACGGUACACCCAAAGCUAGGGUACGAAAGAUGCACUCAGAUGAGAAAUGGAACAUGGUGUGUAAUCACCUCAAACAUGGGGGUGGGAAGUAGCGGCCAGGUAAGCCUCAUGUCACCGGCUGUGUGUUUUCACCCGCAGGGUGUUGUGACUGUGGGACACCUGAGCAUGCACCCCACUCCUUUGAUUAACAUCACAGGCAUUAACAAAGAUGCUGAAGAAUGGAUGAAGACAAUCAAUCAUACAGGUAUGCUGGUGGCAUUGGCACACAUUAACAAGCAGCUUAUGGACGUUCACUCGAGAGUUAGUAGAGUGCAGGCGUCGCUGGCGGGCAACGCUGGUCAACUGAUAUUAGCAGAUGCCUGAUCACAUGGGUGGGGUAUCCUAUGUGGAUUAGCUAGGGAAAGUGCUGGAGUGGACUGGGCUGACUAGUGGAAUGUGGUGGGACAGGGGUCCUCGCUUAUUUCAUUAUUGGUUUUAUCUAUUGCUAUUUUAUUAUUCUGUUAUUUGAAAUAUGUGCUUAAGAAACAAAAGAGAUUACUUACAGGGCUAGCCAAUGAAGUAUUGUGUUCCCGCAUACGGGGCUAUUAACACCACUAAACAUUUGACCAUGCCCCUCCUCGCCACUGAAGGUAAAGAGGAAGAGGGGUUGAGUUUAGGUAUGAUAGAAUAUCAUGAUUAGUUAUGGUACCGGGUUGGCACGGUACCAAAGGAGGGAAUGUAGUGGAUUAUUUUCUUAUAAGGUAUUGCCUAAAUGGCAUUAAAUAACUCAAUAAAGCUAGACACAGCAUUAACACUACAAAGAGCUUAUAGAUGGAACAAUGAGGGUAAGAACUAGCCCUGCCCGGUAUCUCUAGGACACUGGGAACUGAAGUGAGAUAGAAAAAAACAGUUUGUGGAUGUUUUAUCUCUUUAUUUUAUUUUAUAUAUUUUAUAUACUUUUAUAAUAAGGAUGUUACAAAGUGUCUUUUGGCACCACGCCACACUCACAGCCGGAGAAGGUUCCAGAAAGUCUGCCCGGUAACAACCAAUCAGGCCUCAACUAAAAGUGGAGCAACUGCCCCAGCCAAUCAAAUGUGGGGUAAACAAACUUCUGUGGGUAACCACAGAAGAGCAGAUGGAAGAAGAGGCGGAUCUUCUCUCGGCUGGGUUGGGGGUGCCAAAACUAUAUAACCCGCACCAAAUUAAGGGUGGGUGUGCGAUUCUAACUGACUGCUAACAGACUCUGUGAUGCAUGGUUGAACGCUCCUGAUUGCAAUCAAUAAAGGUAAUCUAUUUUGUUUUACUCA